rnacentral:rRNA from 1 species
AACGGAAUCUUGCGCAAUGGGCGAAAGCCUGACGCAGCCAUGCCGCGUGGAUGAUGAAGGUCUUAGGAUUGUAAAAUCCUUUCACCGGUGAAGAUAAUGACUGUAGCCGAGAUAG